rnacentral:rRNA from 1 species
GUUUGACCUCGGAUCAGGUAGGAAUACCCGCUGAACUUAAGCAUAUCAAUAAGCGGAGGAGGAAAA